ACCAAGAAAAAAAAAGAAAAAAUCGACCUCAAGUUGAAUCUGUCUUCUCUUUGCAAAUUUAUUUUUCUGAUUUUUCGGUCUUAAUUUUUUUUUUCUCU
rnacentral:ribozyme from 12 species